AGAGAAGGCUUCCAAAUAGGUAGCUUUUAAUUACAUUUGUACAGAAAGCAUAGCUUUGUAGCUUUCAUUUACAACUCAAGACCUCCCAAUCUUACAUACACUGCACUGGCAAUUGUGUCAACAAGCUCCAGCUGUAGCAUUCCUGUGUGGCAGGAGCCUCCACCUGAGUUAGAGGGAUAAGGCACUCCUACAGAAGCUGAUGCUAUUUACUGCUUGCUUCUCAGGGCUGCCUUGCCCUGCAGGUACUGCAGUCAGGCAGCUGCAAAGGAGGCACAGCUCCUGGGAAUACAGUUCCUGCUGGUUCUGAGGCUGGGCUAAGCCACUUCCAAUAAUUUGAUGUCUGCCCUGCAAUGCAGCCCAGUAAGUGUGGACUCAUCUUUCCUGCAGCUAUGGAAGAUUAGAUUCAGCAGAAUGAAAGGCACCAGUUAAAACUCUAUGAAGUGAGAACAAACCAUGCCUCAAAGUUUCCAAGUCAUCUUACAAGUACAGAUACCUGCAGUCAUGCAUGGUGCCUGUUGCCAGAUCAGCUGGCUGGAAGAACUGAGUGUUCUACUCCCUGGCUGUCCAGUAGGAUUUUAUGACGUUUUUGCAAGCUGUUCAAGAAGCCAAUGGUACCAUCUCUUCCCCCAGAGUGCACCGACAACUCGGACACAUGCCUGCCCUUGGACUGAAUGCUGCUUCCCUCUUGUACUCAGCAGCUACUGCAACACCCUCACUUCUUCUAACAUGUUCUCAGUUUUUCUUGCACUUUUUGCUCUCAUCAUGUUUUGCCAAAGUCACAAUUUUCUGGCUUGUGACUCCAAUUCUCCUUAGCCAUCAGCUUCCACUGUCAGCUGCAGCACCUUCUGGUCAUGCCAUCAUACUUUAUACUUCUUGGAAUGGAGUACCUUUUCUCUGUUUAUUUAGUCUGUAUAUUGCUGAACUAUUUAUAUUCCUUCAGAGAACAUGGUUCCAGUAGUAUCCACUAUCUAUUAUUUUAAACCACUGGCUGGUUUUUGUUUCAAAAAUCCACUGGGAUAUGAAAUUUGUUCUCAGCUAAGACACAGCUGAUCCAACCCAAUGGCCAAAAGCCUGUUAGUCCCUGAUGGGAAGGGAAAUCUUGCUUUGAAACCCAGCCCCAGUAUGACACAGCAAAUCUGGACAGGCUCUGACAUCACGAGCAGUAAUGUCUCCUGAGACAACACUGAGUGCUGCAUGGAAAAUCCUGGUAACCUGGCAGACCUCAGUGAGGCAUAGUUAAUAUCCUUUUGUAGGGGGAAAGGAAAAAAAAUUAUACAGAACAGUCUGGUGCACAAACAGAACAAAAUUCCAAAGCAUCUGAAAACAAUUUUGUUUUUCCAGUAGUAACCCAGGAAGCAUCUCUUGAGACAACUGUUACUGUAACUCUGGGGGAACAGUAGUUCUCAAAGCCUAGAAGGAGCCUGCAAACAGAAACAGUAACAUCAAUGAUCACUCAAUCUUUCUCAGAAUACUUUUCUAAUCUAUUUCUACUACAGAAGACCAAAUUAGAUGUUCUUUCAAGUUUAUUCACUGUUCUCCCCAAGAGAAUGGCUUCCAAAUAUGUAAUUUUAUAAGCAAACUAUUGUGACUUGGUACCCCUCCCCAAGGCCCAACUAUGUUGACAAAUCUUUCAAACUUUCCUCCCAAAUAGGACUGCAGAUUCUGAUUAUUUCAUUCUUGCUCCACACCUUUUUUCUGCUCUGCAAAUCCUCUUCCCUUACCCAAACCAGAGUAAUUAUGUUCUACAGCAGAAAGCAGGUAAGUGGUAACUCAAACAUA